rnacentral:rRNA from 1 species
UACAGAGGUCCCAAGCGUUGUUCGGAUUCACUGGGCGUAAAGGGUGCGUAGGUGGCUAGGUAAGUCGGAUGUGAAAGCUCGGAGCUCAACUCCGAAAUGGCAUUGGAAACUACCUUGCUCGAGGGUUGGAGGGGGGACUGGAAUUUACGGUGUAGCAGUGAAAUGCGUAGAUAUCGUAAGGAAGACCAGUGGCGAAGGCGAGUCUCUGGACAGCAACUGACGCUGAGGCACGAAGGCCAGGGGAGCAAACGGG